ACCUGCAGGCGGCCGCACUAGUGAUUUGAUUAAGCCAUGCAAGUUGAAUGAAUUUAGAUUCAUGGCGUACGGCUCAGUAACACGUGGAUAACUUACCCUUAGGACUGGGAUAACUCUGGGAAACUGGGGAUAAUACUGGAUAUUUGGCUAUGCCUGGAAUGGUUUGCCUUUGAAAUGUUUUCUUUUUCGCCUAAGGAUAGAUCUGCGGCUGAUUAGGUCGUUGGUGGGGUAAUGGCCCACCAAGCCGAUGAUCGGUACGGGUUGUGAGAGCAAGAGCCCGGAGAUGGAACCUGAGACAAGGUUCCAGACCCUACGGGGUGCAGCAGGCGCGAAACCUCCGCAAUGUACGAAAGUGCGACGGGGGGAUCCCAAGUGUUAUGCUUUUUUUGUAUAACUUUUCAUUAGUGUAAAAAGCUUUUAGAAUAAGAGCUGGGCAAGACCGGUGCCAGCCGCCGCGGUAACACCGGCAGCUCGAGUGGUAGCUGUUUUUAUUGGGCCUAAAGCGUUCGUAGCCGGUUUGAUAAGUCUUUGGUGAAAGCUUGUAGCUUAACUAUAAGAAUUGCUGGAGAUACUAUUAGACUUGAAGUCGGGAGAGGUUAGAGGUACUACCGGGGUAGGGGUGAAAUCCUAUAAUCCUGGGAGGACCACCUGUGGCGAAGGCGUCUAACUGGAACGAUCUUGACGGUGAGUAACGAAAGCCAGGGGCGCGAACCGGAUUAGAUACCCGGGUAGUCCUGGCCGUAAACGAUGUAGACUUGGUGUUGGAAUGGCUUUGGGUUGUUCCGGUGCCGAAGGGAAGCUGUUAAGUCUACCGCCUGGGAAGUACGGUCGCAAGACUGAAACUUAAAGGAAUUGGCGGGGGAGCAAAUCCCGCGGCCA
rnacentral:rRNA from 1 species